AGGUGUGAAACUGGGUGUGGGUCCCAAUCAGCCAGAGUUUCGGAAGCAAAUGGAAAGAGAAUAAAAAUGGGACAAAAAAACACAUUAAGUUCAGUUUUAUUUCUUUAUCGACACCGGAAGGAGACGCGGAGGAUUUCUGGAUCUGUUCUUUGAAGGCUUUCUUCACUUCUAGUUGUUGCCGCUGUAGAUCUACCUGCAACACCUCUUGGGAUGAUGCACACAGGGGUCGGGGUUUUGGGAGAGGGGAGGAGGGAUUAUGGGGGGCAGUUAUUCCACUUGUUUGCCAAACUAAUGGCUUCAUAACUCCAAUCUGUUACAUAAAAGCAGGUCUAAACUCUACAUGUUUAAAAAAAAAAAAGUUGUUCCUGACACUAACUUGACUAAUGAUUAAGCCGCUCUGGGUUUACCUAGUACUUAACAUGUCCACUCUCCAUUUACUGACUGAACAGUGUCUCUUUCCAGUCAGUGAAAUUCAGCCCAUGUUUAACGGCCAGUGCAAGUGUAACUUCCUCUUGUAUUCUGCGUAACACGUGGAAGUACAAUCAAUCAUUAAUUUAAAGCAGGUGCUGCUCAGCAAUAGGAACAUGUUGUUAUCCAUGCCAAGUGUGUCAUUACAAAGCACAGACAUUAACACUACAGACACAGGACUAACUCUAUAUGUGGCCAAAAGAAACUGCUCAUGUAUUUGUGAUUAUGUAAAAGGUGUUUCUAAUAAUCUGAUUUACGACACUUUUAACCUCUCGCUUUAGGGCAUGUGAUUGUUCAUUAACAUUUUGUCCCGCUGUUUUCUGUAUGUAUGUAAGAGCCCAUUAGACGUGCUUUUACCUGCCUGUAUCUGUACCUGUCUUUAAUUUAAAAACACAUUAUGGCCUUACACAAUUUGGAUAGUGGCAGAAAUUGAAUGUAUAUCACAUUAGAAACAUAUUUCUGAUAAUGUUUGUAUUUAAUGAAUCUACUGCAAUGACUUGUUGCAAUAGUUGUUUUCCACACUGGAAUCAUUUUACUAUCAACCAAAACCUUCACUGCUGUUAGUCUGUAUCUUUAUAAAUGUUGCUUUUGUGGGAAGCCUUCAAAAGAAACUAAAUUAAAUUUUUUUUUUUUUUUUUUUUUGAACACUGAAAAUCUGUAUGCUAUGCUUUUUUUUUAAGGAAAUGUUAAUCCUUUGCACAGAUAGCAUAAGAAAAUGAUUAUUAUGAAGUGUCACUUUUUUGACUUAUUUUACGACUCGCACAUUAGCAGGUCAGAAGGUUCAGUCUCAGGUGUUUUAUAGUCAAAGUGAAAAGACUGAAGGAUAUGCAAACAUCAACAUUUUCCAGAUCAUAUAUUGUGUAAAGUGCAUCUGAGGAACAGAGAACUGCAUCAAGUGUGAUGCUCAAAAGUUUGAUGUCAUUUUGAAAUGUGGUUUCACUUUUUUAAUCUGAUAUUAAAGCCAUCUGAACAGCUG
ensembl:lncRNA